rnacentral:rRNA from 1 species
AUUGAACGCUGGCGGCAGGCCUAACACAUGCAAGUCGAACGGUAACAGGAAGAAGCUUGCUUCUUUGCUGACGAGUGGCGGACGGGUGAGUAAUGUCUGGGAAACUGCCUGAUGGAGGGGGAUAACUACUGGAAACGGUAGCUAAUACCGCAUAACGUCUCAAGACCAAAGAGGGGGACCUUCGUGCCUCUUUCCAUCUGAUGUUCCCAGAUGGGAUUAGCUAGUAGGUGGGGUAACGGCUCACCUAGGCGACGAUCCCUAGCUGGUCUGAGAGGAUGACCAGCCACACUGGAACUGAGACACGGUCCAGACGCCUACGGGAGGCAGCAGUGGGGAAUAUUGCACAAUGGGCGCAAGCCUGAUGCAGCCAUGCCGCGUGUAUGAAGAAGGCCUUCGGGUUGUAAAGUACUUUCAGCGGGGAGGAAGGGAGUAAAGUUAAUACCUUUGCUCAUUGACGUUACCCGCAGAAGAAGCACCGGCUAACUCCGUG